GUGGGCUCUUAGUCCAUAUGACUGGUAUCUUUAUAAGAGAAGAGACACAAACACAUGAGAUGAAGGAAGAAUGCCAUGUGAUGACAGAGGCAGAGAUCAAAGUGUUACAGAUGCAGCCAAGAAAUGCCAAGCAUAUCCCAUCACCAGGAGCUGAGGAGAGGCCUGGGGCAUUCUCUCCUUCACAGGCUGUGGAACCAACCUGGAUGGUGCCCUGAUUAUAAGCUUCUGGACUCUAGAACUGUGAGAAAAUGAAUUUCUUUUGUCUUAAGCCACCUAGUUGUGGUAACUGCUUAUGGCAGCCCUAGAAAACUAAUAUCCAUGAGUGCUCGCAGAAGCAGACCCUCCCCCCAGAACCCUGAGAUGACUAUAUGCCCGGUCAACACCUCAACUACAGCAUCCUGAAAAACCCUAAGCCAGAGGACUCAGCUAUGAAAAUUUGUUUCUCAGCAAUUGAUAAGCAAAAUAGCAAAGGAUUGGAGGGCAGAGGAAAUCUGUAAGGCUCCCAGGCUAAGCCCCAGAUGCCAAAAACAAUAUGGUUUUUAACAAAUCUGUAUUGGCGUCUUCCCUUCUGUAUCAAUCAUCUACUGCUGUGUAACAAACCACCUCCCAAAUUAAAGUAGCAAUCAUCUGUUUGAUCAUGAUUCUGCAGCUUGCGGUGGGGUCACCUGGACACCUUUCCUGCAGGUCUUGCACAGGACCACCCAUGUGGUCAUUCAUCCUGCAGCUCAGCUGGCGCCAGCAAGUCUAAGGAGACCUCACUGAAAAGUUUGGGGCCAUGGUGCUGGUCACUGGCCAGAUAGUUCUUUCUAUGUGGACUCUCAUCACAUAACAGUCUAGCCCAGACUUUCUCACAUGGCGCUAAGAACAUCCCCAGAGGAAAACCGUCAGCUCUGGAAAUAGCGCAGCUUCAAAGCAGAUCAGAAGGCUAGUCUAGAUUCUAGGAUUGGGGCAAGAGACUCCACUUCUUGAUGUUCCUCUUCUCAUCACCGUGACUGCUACCACUAUGGGCCACCAUCUCUUUCCUAGACAACUACAGCGGCCCCAUAAGGGCUUUCUCUGCUCCUGUCUUGUUCCUAGGACAUCCAUUCCCCGAAAUUAAAGUCAGCAGCCAGAAUGACUGCUGCGAGGCAAAUACCUCACGCUCACGCAAUCUCUCCGUCUCGAUGACCUGAAGUCCCAAGGUGUGGUCUUUCUUCACACCACCCUCCACCCUCACUGUUGAGGCUCCGGCACUACCAGCCUCCCUUGAAUAUGUCAUGAUUUCUUCUUCCCUCUUCAGGGCCUUUCCACGAGCUAUUUCCUCUAACUGAUAGGUCCUCUCCACCAUCAACCCCCUCUUCUUGUUAAUUCUCCCAGCUACACUUCAUUUAUCUAUACAAGAAUAAAAUGAGUCAAGAAACACUGGACAGGAAGCAGUUUUUCCCUUGCUAUCUUUUUUUCUAGCAGUACACGUUUGCGGUAUACAAUGUUUACAUUCCUUGUGUGGAGCUGGUACAUGUACAGAAGACAUAUUAAUUCCUCUUUUCAUCUGCUUUCCCUCCCCUCCUUCCCUACUCUAUCUCUUCAUCCCCUUCCCAUUUGAGAAAGAUCUAU
ensembl:lncRNA